GUCUCCUCUUUCCCCUCCUCUCCUCGCAACGACCUCCUCCUUCCUGCACCGCCUCUUCCUCUCUUCCUUGCUGAUGGCGCCUCCCGCCGGUCGAUGCCUCUUCUCUUGCCCUUUUCGUGGGGAGGUGGAGAUGUGAAGAUGGCGUUGGAGGAGGAAAACGAGAUCCAGGCAGUGGAAAGAUGGCGUUGGAGGAGGAAAACGAGAUCCAGGCAGUGGAAAGAUGGUGUUGGAGGAGGGAGCAUGGGUGGCCGCCGCAGCAGAAGCACGGGUGGCCUGGUUGUGGCGGAGCAUGGCGGGAGUCCAGGCGGCGUCAUGGUCGUGGUCAAGAGGAGAAGCACGGGUGGCCGCCGCAGCUGAGCUUCUAUGUAACAUAGUUCCGAUGAAUCCUCUGCCGCAUCUAGCCUCUACAGGUUGGGCUCUCCUGUUCUUUUUUGUUGGCUUGACGUACGCAUUGGCAACCUCCUGCGUGAAGGAUUCAGCAUGCCUCUAUUUGAGAGAAAAGAUAUGAAGAAGCGGAUUUUCAGAGUAUCUCAGGCACACAAGCUAAAGGUUCACCAAGUUCAGGGAAAGAAAAGUUUCCCUAGACAUGUGGCGGCGGCGGUCAAGACAAGAGCGGCGCUGUGAGCGACAGACCUCGAUCGUCUUCCUUGUGGAAUCAGG